AAGAUCUCGUACAGCAGCACUACUUGUAUUGUUCUCCACUUGCUCCAUCGCUUUGCUGGUAUUCCCUCAUUCGUAAGUCGCUUCGGAUAAAAGCGUCCGCUGAAUGAAUAGAUGUGAAUGUAAUGUAAUAUAAUUACGGAAACCUGCAUAACACUACUCAUUUAAUUCAUAAUGCUGAAUAUUUAUUCAUACGGGUGGAGCGGGUCAUUUGGCAUUAUGCCUUUCUUUUUAAUUGUACUCAUAUGUAUGCAUUGUUUUCAGUGAAUACCUCGUGCUUCAACGUGACAGUAUUUAUUAGCCUGAUGCAAAUGGAUCUCACACACACACACACACACACACACACACACACACACGUAUGCGUACACUUUUCAAACACACACCAACAGGAACACAAACCUAUGGGUAAAUCAGUAUGGCUGUAAAAUAUAAGUUGUUCGUUCAUGUUAUGCAUCUUAUGCAUUCGUAGAAUGCGGACGGGCGCGUUGUAGGCUGACGGGCAUGUCGAAAUGGUUCGUAGAAUGCGAACGGGCGCGUUGUAGGCUGACGGGCAUGUCCAAAUCGUUCGUAGAAUGCGGACGGGCGCGUUGUAGGCUGACGGGCAUGUCCAAAUGGUUCGUAGAAUGCGGACGGGCGCGUUGUAGGCUGACGGGCAUGUCCAAAUGGUUCGUAGAAUGCGGACGGGCGCGUUGUAGGCUGACGCGCAUGUCGAAAUGGGUCGUAGAAUGCGGACGGGUGCGUUGUAGGCUGACGGGCAUGUCGAAAUGGUUCGUAGAUUGCGGACGGGCGCGUUGUAGGCUGACGGGCAUGUCCAAAUGGUUCGUAGAAUGCGAACGGGUGUGUUGUCGGCUGACGGGCAUGUCCAAAUCGUUCGUUGAAUGCGGACGGGCGCGUUGUAGGCUGACGGGCAUGUCCAAAUGGUUCGUAGAAUGCGGACGGGCGCGUUGUAGGCUGACGGGCAUGUCCAAAUCGUUCGUAGAAUGCGGACGGGUGUGUUGUAGGCUGACGGGCAUGUCCAAAUCGUUCGUAGAAUGCGGACGGGUGUGUUGUCGGCUGACGGGCAUGUCCAAAUGGUUCGUAGAAUGCGAUCGGGUGCGUUGUAGGCUGACGGGCAUGUCCAAAUGGUUCGUAGAAUGCGAUCGGGUGCGUUGUAGGCUGACGGGCAUGUCCAAAUGGUUCGUAGAAUGCGAUCGGGUGCGUUGUAGGCUGACGGGCAUGUCCAAAUCGUUCGUAGAAUGCGGAUGGGCGCGUUGUAGGCUGACGGGCAUGUCCAAAUCGUUCGUAGAAUGCGAACGGGUGCGUUGUAGGCUGAUGGGCAUGUCCAAACGGUUCGAAGAAUGCGAACGGGUGUGUGAUUGUGCCCUGCAACGGGUUGACGCAAUGUCCAGGGUGUCCCUUGUCUUGUGCCCCGAGUCCCAUUGAAGAGGCUCCAGGCUCCCUGCGACCCUGUGUAGGAUAACCUGUACUGAAGAUAGAUGGAUCAAGGGGAUGAACUGAGAGCACCCUCAGGAAAACACCAAUAAGAGCAGCACACCACAUGCAGAGAUGGGGAAUUCAUGACAGGAAACAGGAUCCCGGUACUGAUGCACACCAUCGUAUCAGUAUUGGUAUCAGUUUAGAGCACAUUUGCUCAUUUCCCGUUACCCUUUGAAUUGAAAUCAAGUGCUUUGUGACGCCCAUUUUGUCAUUUUGCCUCUCGUACUUUAACGCUUUAAUCCACCGAGUCACUUCUGUGUAUUUCAGUAAUUAAUGUAAAGGUCGAUAAUAAAUCAGAGUUCCGUGUAGAGCUUGUUGAAUACGAGGAAGCUGUGAAUGGGAGUUCAUCAUCGGCUGAUAAAGUGAAAUGCUUGUGCACCGAGGGAAAGUAUUGAACACGUCAACGUUUUUUUUUUUUUCCAGUAAAUACAUUUCCAAUGAGGUUAUUCACAUGAAAAUUUCACCAGACUUCAGUAUUAACUCCAGAAAUCCAGAAAUAUAAAGAAUUCACAACAUUAAAGUCCAUAAAUGAAGUUGUGUGUAAUAAAGUGGAAUGACACAGAGGAAAGAAGUAUCGAACACGCUAACUGAAAUGUAUUUAAUACUCAGUGGAGAAGGCUUUGUUUGUAAUGACGGCUUCAAGACGCUUCCUGUAUGAGGAAAUUAAUCGUCCGCGGUAUUCGGGUGUGAUUUUUG
ensembl:lncRNA